rnacentral:rRNA from 1 species
AUCAAUAAGCGGAGGAAAAGAAAAUAACAAUGAUUCCCCUAGUAACGGCGAGUGAACAGGGAAAAGCUCAAAGUUGGAACCUCCUGGUCCUAGAUUAGGCGGAUUGUAAACUAAAGCUCUUGGGUAGUACGGUUGGCCUGAUAAAAAAGUUCUCUGGAAAGAGGCGACAUAGAGGGUGAUAUCCCCGUCUUUGGUCAGAGCUCAAUCAUGCGUUUGCCCUUUAGCGAAGAGUCAGGUUGUUUGGGAAUGCAGCCUAAAAUGGGAGGUAAAUCUCUCCUAAAGCUAAAUAUUGACGAAAGACCGAUAGCGAACAAGUACCGUGAGGGAAAGAUGAAAAGCACUUUGAAAAGAGGGUCAAAAAGUACGUGAAAUUGCUGAAAGGGAACCGUAUGAAAUCAGUCUGAUGUGUUGGUAAUCAAUCUGGAUCUCGAUCCGGAUGCACUUGCCGAUGUAUUAGCCUGCGACAGUUUGAUCUGGAGGAAAAAAGAUGGGAGAAUGUGGCCUUGGCUUCGGUUAAGGUGUUAUAGCUCCUGUCAAAAUACUUUGGAUUGGACUGAGGACUGCAGCGAGCCGCAAGGUAAAGGUCUCGGGCGCUUGCUCUGGUUAUGUAAGAAAUCUCUGCUUCGGGUGGUAUCUUGCCUAAUCGGGACAACACGCUUGUUUCUCUUUUUUCUCGCUUAGGUCGUAGGCAUAAUGAUUUUAUAUGAC